CCCGUGUGGAUCCCUCUGGAGCUGCAUCCUGUUUGCACCAUGGGAUUUGAUGCUACAUGGAUCUGAAAGGAAGGUCAAUGGAUAUUGUGUGAGGACACUUGGACUCUUGCCCGGCCUGUGGAGGUACCUUGGCAAGACUCAGUAAACUUCUGAAGAGGGAGAAAAAGAUGAACAAAGUCUACCAUUGCCUUUAUCUGAGCCUGGCACAGUAUUGAGAGGGAUUUUUUCUUCCCGGGAGCAAAACACCUCUGCUGCCAUUGUACGGUGGAUAUUCCUGGUGAUGCUGGAGCAGGAUGCAAAAACAGCAAAGCAGGAAUUGUUGCAAAGAUCUAUAGCCAAGAAACCUAUCAAGUCUAGUGGGUGCUUUCUACAACCUUAGCCUCCAACUCCAGUGGGAAGACUUGAUGUAGACUGAUCUGGCUUUCCAG